rnacentral:lncRNA from 1 species
UCACCGCCUCUUUGUUUACCCUCUUCCUUUCUCCUCACUCUCACGGUCUCACCUCAAAGUUUUUGCAACAAAAAUAAGGAUCAACACCUCCGUGUCAGAGAGGAAGCGAGUAGACUUAUAACUUCUGACGGCGAGCUCACAAGUAGCUGUUUUUUGAUGUUACGUCUGGUCUUACAAAGUGACUAACCUUCACUUUGAAUGUAGGUUACCAAAUCAGCUUCUCUCUCAUCACAGUCUUGAUCCUCGACUUAAAGGAGUAAAAAAAAAAAAAAAGAAAGAAAGCUGGCUGGUUGGGGAUAACAGAUGAGCGUAGAUGAGCAGUGUCAGAUUUAAAAUGGUUUGGAGAAGCCGUCUGCAAAUCUGUCUUGAGCGGAUUACAGCUGAGGUUGGAAAAAACUUGGGGCAAUUUCAUGUGCUUACUAAAUUGCAUAGAUAUCAGUAAGUCGGAGGGG